AACGCACAUUGCGCCCCUUGGUAUUCCGAGGGGCAUGCCUGUUCGAGCGUCAUUACAACCCUCAAGCACUGCUUGGUAUUGGGCUCCGCUGGCUCCAGCGGGCCUUAAAAUCAGUGGCGGCGCCGUUUGGGCUCUGAGCGUAGUAAAUAUCCUCGCUAUAGAGACCAGGCGGUUCUUGUCAUCAACCCCCAACUUUCUAAGUUUGACCUCGGAUCAGGCAGGGAUACCCGCUGAACUUAA
rnacentral:misc_RNA from 1 species